rnacentral:rRNA from 1 species
AUUGAACGCUGGCGGCAUGCCUUACACAUGCAAGUCGAACGGUAACGGGCCUUCGGGUGCCGACGAGUGGCGAACGGGUGAGUAAUACAUCGGAACGUGCCCGAUCGUGGGGGAUAACGAGGCGAAAGCUUUGCUAAUACCGCAUACGAUCUACGGAUGAAAGCAGGGGACCGCAAGGCCUUGCGCGGACGGAGCGGCCGAUGGGAGAUUAGGUAGUUGGUGGGAUAAAAGCUUACCAAGCCGACGAUCUGUAGCUGGUCUGAGAGGAUGAACAGCCACACUGGGACUGAGACACGGCCCAGACUCCUACGGGAGGCAGCAGUGGGGAAUUUUGGACAAUGGGCGCAAGCCUGAUCCAGCCAUGCCGCGUGCAGGAUGAAGGCCUUCGGGUUGUAAACUGCUUUUGUACGGAACGAAAAGCCUUCUUUUAUUACAGGAGGGUCAUGACGGUACCGGAAGAAUAAGCACCGGCUAACUACGUG